AGAUUCAGGGUCUAGGUUGCCUCUUAAACGGGUCAGAAUUGUCUUAGAAAGUGGCUGCCUACCAGAUUCAGGGUCUAGGUUGCCUCUUAAACGGGUCAGAAUUGUCUUAGAAAGUGGCUGCCUACCAGGGUCUAAGUUGCCUCUUAAACGGGUCAGAACUGUCUAAGAAAGUGGUUGCCUACCUGGUGUUUGAUCAGUUGCCUCCAAUUCAGCUCUUUUUAUGGCUGAUUACACUUACAUUGUGUUUCUCUACACAAUCAAUGUGAUGUGUUUUUGGUGUUCUUUUUCAUUUUCUUCCGGUCUUCUUAAACAAUCAAUGUGAUGUGUAGGUAGGGUGUUCAAUUAACACACGACUCCAGUUGUGACUUAAACCGCAUUUCCCUAAGGUAUUGUUACAAGUUUUAAGUUAAAAUGGUUUGA